rnacentral:tRNA from 1 species
ACGUCUGUAGCUCAGAAGGUUAGAGCGCCAUCAUGACAUGGUGGAAGUCAUCGGUUCAAUUCCGAUCAGACGUA